GGCAGACUGCCUACCACGGCUGACGAGCUCCACCUGCCCGGGUUUAUUGUUCGGAGUUUGCUCUCCUAGGCAGAUUGCCUACCACGGCUGACGAGCUCCACCUGCCCGGGUUUUAUGUAUGGAGUUUGCUCUCCUAGGUGUAUUGCCUAUGACGGCUCACGAGCCCAACCUGCCCGGGUUUAUUGUUCGGAGUUUGCUCUCCUAGGUGAACUGCUUUCGCUAACGACCUCCACCUGCCCGGGUUUGUAAUCGGAGUUUGCUCUCCUAGGUGAACUGCUUUCGCUAACGACCUCCACCUGCCCGGGUUUGUAAUCGGAGUUUGCUCUCCUAGGUGAACUGCUUUCACUAACGACCUCCACCUGCCCGGGUUUAUUGUUCGGAGUUUGCUCUCCUAGGUGUAUUACCUAUGACGGCUCACGAGCCCAACCUGCCCGGGUUUAUUGUUCGGAGUUUG